AUUGAACGCUGGCGGCAGGCUUAACACAUGCAAGUCGAGCGGGGGAAGGUAGCUUGCUACCGGACCUAGCGGCGGACGGGUGAGUAAUGCUUAGGAAUCUGCCUAUUAGCGGGGGACAACAUCUCGAAAGGGAUGCUAAUACCGCAUACGUCCUACGGGAGAAAGCAGGGGAUCUUCGGACCUUGCGCUAAUAGAUGAGCCUAAGUCGGAUUAGCUAGUUGGUGGGGUAAAGGCCUACCAAGGCGACGAUCUGUAGCGGGUCUGAGAGGAUGAUCCGCCGCACUGGGACUGAGACACGGCCCAGACUCCUACGGGAGGCAGCAGUGGGGAAUAUUGGACAAUGGGGGGAACCCUGAUCCAGCCAUGCCGCGUGUGUGAAGAAGGCCUUAUGGUUGUAAAGCACUUUAAGCGAGGAGGAGGCUACUUUAGUUAAUACCUAGAGAUAGUGGACGUUACUCGCAGAAUAAGCACCGGCUAACUCUGUGCCAGCCGCCGCGGUAA
rnacentral:rRNA from 1 species